UUAAGAGUAAUCCACUUUUUGAUGAAGUCCAAGAAAGAGUCUCUGCUGUUGAAAGUCUUUUAGGAAAAUACGGCCAAGAAAUUGUUAAAGGUUUGAUAAAUGCUUGUGCUGGAGGUGUUCAGUCUUAUAUGUUACCCGAAGCUGCUGAUGUUUUAUGGGAAAUGCUACAGUUUUGCCAAAGGCCUACUACAUUGUGGUUUAAAAAUGCUUUAUCUGUUCUUCCUUCGCAUAAUGCAGCAGGUGCUGUAAAUGCUACACCAGAACAAAUUGAAGACUUUUACAGGGUUAUAUCA